rnacentral:lncRNA from 1 species
UAUUCCUUAAUCAAUUCCGGUAUUAUUCAACUGUUUAACUGGACUCCGUGGCAUUUAUUUUUGUAAACAUUUAAAAGGAACCUCGUAAUCAUUGUCUCUAUCUUCAUGUCUUCGUCAGCUCCUGGAGACACCAAGAAAAACCAGUCCUUCUUACCCAAUGUUACUCCAUAGCCUUUCUUAACCCUUUCCUCGAAAAUGAUAACUUCCGGCAACACACGAAGAGCUGAGAGGACGUUUUCACUUUCUCUUGACAGAAACUACAUUUUUUUUCUUUUUCCAGGUUGUAAUGGACAAGAGUUUGAUCAUAUUCUAUGAAGGGCAUAAGAGUGGAAUCAAAUCGUCAAGACCAACGAAAAGAAAAAAUGUAUCUGUUAUAAUGGACAAUCAUAGUGGACAUUAACCGGAGUAUGAACAAAAAAGAAAACAAUGUGCUUACUGUGCAAGUAAAAAUAUAGAAAAUCGAACUUUGUUCUUUGUGGGUAAGAGAGGACCUUACUUGAUCAAAAAAUAACGCUGAUGGUACGAGUUCUUCAGUUAGGUACGACAAAUGUGCCGAGAAUGGCUUGAUUGCUACAUAUACAUAACUUUUAUAGAUCUUCAUAUAACUGAUCCAGUUAUUGAUUGGUUUGAGAUCAAUAAAAAAGCUGCUGAAGGAAGUGGAGCUGUAAAUCAUCAAGACAGCAAGUAGUGGGGCGUCUACAGACAACUGUCUACGCCGUCAGCAAGUCCAAAACGAUGGAGGAGAAGAAGGGCUUUGUCAAAAAGGCCAAACUGGACCUGGAGGAGUUAAAGAAAACAGCCCAGGCCAGUCCAUUCAAGUCCUUGAGGGCAUAUACAUAGCCUUGUAGAGUCAACUUUUGACACCAUAAAUAAAAUAAACCCAUCUCCUCCGUUGCAAGACUUUUUUGAAUGAGUUUCAAAUGAGUCUUUUGAUCUUUUUGAACUCUUUUUUUGACACUUUUGGUCCUUCUACAGCCAGGUCUUUAAUGCCAACCCAUUCCACUGCACCUUUUGGAUAAAUAUCUAGGGGAAAGUCUGUAGUGUCCAUCAUCCAAACCGAUUCCCUCAAUGCCCCUGUCAACCAGUACUGGGACGUCAUGACAGAACACUAUAUCUGCAGCGGGUGCCAGGCCUUCCGUUACCAUCUGGAAGCCUUAAUUGCGAGUAAGGGCAGCUAUAUUGAUGAUUACAAGAGCUCAGGCACAUAUAUAUUUACAGUAGUA